GUGGGGAAUCUUAGACAAUGGGGGAAACCCUGAUCUAGCCAUGCCGCGUGAGCGAUGAAGGCCUUAGGGUUGUAAAGCUCUUUCAGCUGGGAAGAUAAUGACGGUACCAGCAGAAGAAGCCCCGGCUAACUCCGUGCCAGCAGCCGCGGUAAUACGGAGGGGGCUAGCGUUGUUCGGUAUUACUGGGCGUAAAGCGCGCGUAGGCGGACCAGAAAGUUGGAGGUGAAAUCCCAGGGCUCAACCUUGGAACUGCCUUCAAAACUCCUGGUCUGGAGUUCGAGAGAGGUGGGUGGAAUUCCGAGUGUAGAGGUGAAAUUCGUAGAUAUUCGGAGGAACACCAGUGGCGAAGGCGGCUCACUGGCUCGAUACUGACGCUGAGGUGCGAAAGCGUGGGGAGCAAACAGGAUUAGAAACCCUAGUAGUCC
rnacentral:rRNA from 1 species